AGAACGAACGCUGGCGGCGUGCUUAACACAUGCAAGUCGAGCGAGGCUCUCUCCUUCGGGAGGGAUGCCCUAGCGGCGAACGGGUGAGUAACACGUGGGCAACCUGCCCCUAGCACUGGGAUAACUCCGGGAAACCGGGGCUAAUACCGGAUACGACCUCUGAGGGCAUCCUCCGGAGGUGGAAAGCAUUGUGGCUAGGGAUGGGCCCGCGGCCUAUCAGCUUGUUGGUGAGGUAACGGCCCACCAAGGCGACGACGGGUAGCCGGCCUGAGAGGGCGACCGGCCACACUGGGACUGAGACACGGCCCAGACUCCUACGGGAGGCAGCAGUGGGGAAUAUUGCACAAUGGGCGAAAGCCUGAUGCAGCGACGCCGCGUGAGGGAUGACUGCCUUCGGGUUGUAAACCUCUUUCAGCAGGGACGAAGCGAAAGUGACGGUACCUGCAGAAGAGCACCGGCCAACUACGCGCCAGCAGCCGCGGU
rnacentral:rRNA from 1 species